rnacentral:tRNA from 1 species
GAGGGUAUAGCUCAGUGGUAGAGUGCUUGUUUAACAGGCACGAGGUCCUGAGUUCAAUCCCCAGUCCCUCCA